UACGUAGGGGGCAAGCGUUGUCCGGAAUCAUUGGGCGUAAAGAGCGUGUAGGCGGCUCGGUAAGUCCGCUGUAAAAGUCCAGGGCUCAACCCUGGAAAGCCGGGUGGAAACUGUCGAGCUAGAGUCCGGAAGAGGCGAGUGGAAUUCCUGGUGUAGCGGUGAAAUGCGCAGAUAUCAGGAGGAACACCAAUGGCGAAGGCAGCUCGCUGGGACGGUACUGACGCUGAGACGCGAAAGCGUGGGGAGCAAACAGG
rnacentral:rRNA from 1 species